AUUGAACGCUGGCGGCAUGCUUUACACAUGCAAGUCGAACGGUAACAGGCCUUCGGGUGCUGACGAGUGGCGAACGGGUGAGUAAUGCAUCGGAACGUGCCCAGAGGUGGGGGAUAACGCAGCGAAAGCUGUGCUAAUACCGCAUGUGAUCUGAGGAUGAAAGCGGGGGACCAGGCAGCAAUGUUUGGCCUCGCGCCUUUGGAGCGGCCGAUGUCAGAUUAGGUAGUUGGUGGGGUAAAGGCCUACCAAGCCGAGGAUCUGUAGCUGGUCUGAGAGGACGACCAGCCACACUGGGACUGAGACACGGCCCAGACUCCUACGGGAGGCAGCAGUGGGGAAUUUUGGACAAUGGGCGAAAGCCUGAUCCAGCAAUGCCGCGUGCGGGAAGAAGGCCUUCGGGUUGUAAACCGCUUUUGUACGGAACGAAAAGGAUCUGGCUAAUACCUGGGGCUGAUGACGGUACCGUAAGAAUAAGCACCGGCUAACUACGUG
rnacentral:rRNA from 1 species